CAAUAGCGUAUAUUAAAGUUGUUGCAGUUAAAAAGCUCGUAGUUGAAGAUACGAACGCUUACACUAGAACAAAGUUUCCGGUGUCUGCGUUCACUUUUCGCAAAGACAGCCUGGCCCAUUAGUUUGGGUCUUGUUUGAGUUGCGUCAUUUACUGUGAACAAAUUAGGGUGUUUAAAGCAGGCCUACGUUUGAAUACACUAGCAUGGAAUAAUAAGAUAUGAUCUUGGUCGUAUUUUGUUGGUGACUACCAAGAUAAUGAUUGAUAGAAACUGUUGUGGGUAUUCGUAUGAGCAUGUCAGAGGUGAAAUUCUUGGAUUUUGAUCAGACGAACUACUGCGAAAGUAUUUACCAAGGAUGUCUUCAUUAA
rnacentral:rRNA from 1 species